rnacentral:ncRNA from 1 species
UAGCGCCUGAACUCGCCAGGUGGCGAGUUGACGAGGUUGGGGUUCAUCGAGUUGUUCGGCGGAUGCCCCACGGUCUUCCCCACGACCGUCAGCGGCCUGACAAAACCCGGGGGUGACCUCGGGGACAAAGGGG